UUGAACGCUGGCGGCAUGCUUUACACAUGCAAGUCGAACGGUAGACCCUUUCGGGGGUUGAGAGUGGCGAACGGGUGAGUAAUGCAUCGGAACAUACCCAGUCGUGGGGGAUAACGUAGCGAAAGUUAUGCUAAUACCGCAUGAGUCCUGAGGGAGAAAGCGGGGGAUCGCAAGACCUCGCGCGAUUGGAGUGGCCGAUGUCAGAUUAGCUAGUUGGUGAGGUAAAGGCUCACCAAGGCGACGAUCCGUAGCUGGUCUGAGAGGACGACCAGCCACACUGGAACUGAGACACGGUCCAGACUCCUACGGGAGGCAGCAGUGGGGAAUUUUGGACAAUGGGGGCAACCCUGAUCCAGCCAUUCCGCGUGAGUGAAGAAGGCCUUCGGGUUGUAAAACUCUUUCGGCAGGAACGAAACGGUGAGCUCUAACAUAGCUUGCUAAUGACGGUACCUGAAGAAGAAGCACCGGCUAACUACGU
rnacentral:rRNA from 1 species